rnacentral:tRNA from 1 species
GUAAACAUAAUUUAACAAAAAUACUAGAUUGUGAUUCUAAAAAUAGAGGUUAAACCCCUCUUGUUCACC